rnacentral:rRNA from 1 species
UCCUAUGGUCAUGCUACCCUGAGCAAGCCCGAGCCCGUCUGAUCUCGGAAGCUAAGCAGGGUCAGGCCCGGUUAGUACUUGAAUGGGAGACCACCUAGGAAGACCAGGUGCUGUAGGUG